GCCGACCUAGCUCAAUUGGUAGAGCGACGGUAUCGUAAACCGUAGGUUGUGGGUUCGAUUCCCACGGUCGGCUCCA
rnacentral:tRNA from 1 species